rnacentral:snRNA from 1 species
CUGGCUUCUCAGCCUUUUGGCUAAGAUCAAGUGUAUUAUCUGUUCUUAUCAGUUUGAUGUUCAGUAACAUAUUCUGAGCCUUACAGAUGUCCGAGUUUGAAGGUUAGCUGGUGUACUCUUAACACUGGAAAGCCUUGUGCAAGAAAAAUAUCUUGAAAAGGACUGAUGUGGUAACCUCCU